rnacentral:rRNA from 1 species
UACAGAGGUCCCAAGCGUUGUUCGGAUUCACUGGGCGUAAAGGGUGCGUAGGCGGUCGGGUAAGUCUGAUGUGAAAUCUCACAGCUUAACUGUGAAACUGCAUUGGAUACUAUCCGGCUCGAGGAAUGGAGGGGAGACUGGAAUACUUGGUGUAGCAGUGAAAUGCGUAGAUAUCAAGUGGAACACCAGUGGCGAAGGCGAGUCUCUGGACAUUUCCUGACGCUGAGGCACGAAAGCCAGGUGAGCAAACGGG